AUUGAACGCUGGCGGCAUGCCUUACACAUGCAAGUCGAACGGCAGCACGGACUUCGGUCUGGUGGCGAGUGGCGAACGGGUGAGUAAUGUAUCGGAACGUACCUUUCAGUGGGGGAUAACGUAGCGAAAGUUACGCUAAUACCGCAUAUUCUGUGAGCAGGAAAGCAGGGGAUCGCAAGACCUUGCGCUGAUUGAGCGGCCGAUAUCAGAUUAGCUAGUUGGUGGGGUAAAGGCCUACCAAGGCUACGAUCUGUAGCGGGUCUGAGAGGAUGAUCCGCCACACUGGAACUGAGACACGGUCCAGACUCCUACGGGAGGCAGCAGUGGGGAAUUUUGGACAAUGGGGGCAACCCUGAUCCAGCCAUGCCGCGUGAGUGAAGAAGGCCUUCGGGUUGUAAAGCUCUUUCGGCCGGGAAGAAAUCGCAUCAGCUAAUACCUGGUGUGGAUGACGGUACCGGAAUAAGAAGCACCGGCUAACUACGUGCCAGCAGCCGCGGUAAUACGUAGGGUGCGAGCGUUAAUCGGAAUUACUGGGCGUAAAGCGUGCGCAGGCGGUUGUGUAAGACAGGCGUGAAAUCCCCGGGCUCAACCUGGGAACUGCGCUUGUGACUGCACAGCUAGAGUACGGCAGAGGGGGGUGGAAUUCCACGUGUAGCAGUGAAAUGCGUAGAGAUGUGGAGGAACACCGAUGGCGAAGGCAGCCCCCUGGGCCGAUACUGACGCUCAUGCACGAAAGCGUGGGUAGCAAACAGGAUUAGAUACCCUGGUAGUCCACGCCCUAAACGAUGUCAACUAGGUGUUGGGUGGGUAAAACCAUUUAGUACCGUAGCUAACGCGUGAAGUUGACCGCCUGGGGAGUACGGCCGCAAGGUUAAAACUCAAAGGAAUUGACGGGGACCCGCACAAGCGGUGGAUGAUGUGGAUUAAUUCGAUGCAACGCGAAAAACCUUACCUACCCUUGACAUGUCCAGAAGCCCGAAGAGAUUUGGGUGUGCCCGAAAGGGAACUGGAACACAGGUGCUGCAUGGCUGUCGUCAGCUCGUGUCGUGAGAUGUUGGGUUAAGUCCCGCGACGAGCGCAACCCUUGUCGUUAAUUGCCAUCAUUUAGUUGGGCACUUUAACGAGACUGCCGGUGACAAACCGGAGGAAGGUGGGGAUGACGUCAAGUCCUCAUGGCCCUUAUGGGUAGGGCUUCACACGUCAUACAAUGGUCGGUACAGAGGGUUGCCAAGCCGCGAGGUGGAGCCAAUCCCAGAAAGCCGAUCGUAGUCCGGAUUGCAGGCUGCAACUCGCCUGCAUGAAGUCGGAAUCGCUAGUAAUCGCGGAUCAGCAUGUCGCGGUGAAUACGUUCCCGGGUCU
rnacentral:rRNA from 1 species